AUUGAACGCUGGCGGCAGGCCUAACACAUGCAAGUCGAGCGGUAGCACAGAGAGCUUGCUCUCGGGUGACGAGCGGCGGACGGGUGAGUAAUGUCUGGGAAACUGCCUGAUGGAGGGGGAUAACUACUGGAAACGGUAGCUAAUACCGCAUAACGUCGCAAGACCAAAGUGGGGGACCUUCGGGCCUCAUGCCAUCAGAUGUGCCCAGAUGGGAUUAGCUAGUAGGUGGGGUAACGGCUCACCUAGGCGACGAUCCCUAGCUGGUCUGAGAGGAUGACCAGCCACACUGGAACUGAGACACGGUCCAGACUCCUACGGGAGGCAGCAGUGGGGAAUAUUGCACAAUGGGCGCAAGCCUGAUGCAGCCAUGCCGCGUGUGUGAAGAAGGCCUUCGGGUUGUAAAGCACUUUCAGCGGGGAGGAAGGCGGUGAGGUUAAUAACCUCAUCGAUUGACGUUACCCGCAGAAGAAGCACCGGCUAACUCCGUGCCAGCAGCCGCGGUAAUACGGAGGGUGCAAGCGUUAAUCGGAAUUACUGGGCGUAAAGCGCACGCAGGCGGUCUGUCAAGUCGGAUGUGAAAUCCCCGGGCUCAACCUGGGAACUGCAUUCGAAACUGGCAGGCUAGAGUCUUGUAGAGGGGGGUAGAAUUCCAGGUGUAGCGGUGAAAUGCGUAGAGAUCUGGAGGAAUACCGGUGGCGAAGGCGGCCCCCUGGACAAAGACUGACGCUCAGGUGCGAAAGCGUGGGGAGCAAACAGGAUUAGAUACCCUGGUAGUCCACUCCGUAAACGAUGUCGAUUUGGAGGUUGUGCCCUUGAGGCGUGGCUUCCGGAGCUAACGCGUUAAAUCGACCGCCUGGGGAGUACGGCCGCAAGGUUAAAACUCAAAUGAAUUGACGGGGGCCCGCACAAGCGGUGGAGCAUGUGGUUUAAUUCGAUGCAACGCGAAGAACCUUACCUGGUCUUGACAUCCACAGAACUUUCCAGAGAUGGAUUGGUGCCUUCGGGAACUGUGAGACAGGUGCUGCAUGGCUGUCGUCAGCUCGUGUUGUGAAAUGUUGGGUUAAGCCCCGCAACGAGCGCAACCCUUAUCCUUUGUUGCCAGCGGUCCGGCCGGGAACUCAAAGGAGACUGCCAGUGAUAGACUGGAGGAAGGUGGGGAUGACGUCAAGUCAUCAUGGCCCUUACGACCAGGGCUACACACGUGCUACAAUGGCAUAUACAAAGAGAAGCGACCUCGCGAGAGCAAGCGGACCUCAUAAAGUAUGUCGUAGUCCGGAUUGGAGUCUGCAACUCGACUCCAUGAAGUCGGAAUCGCUAGUAAUCGUAGAUCAGAAUGCUACGGUGAAUACGUUCCCGGGCCU
rnacentral:rRNA from 1 species